CCGCUUGUAGCUCAACUGGAUAGAGCAGCUGGCUUCGAACCAGAAGGUUAGGGGUUCAAAUCCUCUCAAGCGGGCCA
rnacentral:tRNA from 1 species